rnacentral:rRNA from 1 species
UACGAAGGGGGCUAGCGUUGCUCGGAAUCACUGGGCGUAAAGCGCACGUAGGCGGAUUGUUAAGUCAGGGGUGAAAUCCUGGAGCUCAACUCCAGAACUGCCUUUGAUACUGGCGAUCUCGAGUCCGGGAGAGGUGAGUGGAACUGCGAGUGUAGAGGUGAAAUUCGUAGAUAUUCGCAAGAACACCAGUGGCGAAGGCGGCCAACUGGACCAUUACUGACGCUGAGGUGCGAAAGCGUGGGGAGCAAACAGG